UUAUCAAAAACAUGUCCUAUAGAUAUUAUUAUUUUAGGUCUAACCUGCCCAAUGAUUUAUUUAAUGGCUGCAGUAUCUUANCUGUACAAAGGUAGCAUAAUCAUUUGUCUUUUAAUUAAAGGCUCGUAUGAAUGGUUGGACGAAGGAUUAACUUUCUUUACUUAAAUUUUAUGAAUUUAAUUUUUUAGUUAAAAAGCUUAAAUUUAUUUGCAAGACGAGAAGACCCUAUAGAAUUUUAUUUUUUAAUAUAAGUUUUAUUUUUGGUUAUUAUUAAUUUUAUUUAUAUUAAAAAAUUUUGUUGGGGUGACAGUGAAAUUUUAAUAACUUUCAUAUAAUUAUCAUCAUUGAUUUAUGUAUUUUUGAUCCUUUAUUAUGGAUUAUUAGAUUAAAUUACCUUAGGGAUAACAGCGUAAUUCUUUUGGAGAGUUUUAUCGAUNAAGGAGUUUGCNACCUCNAUGUNGGAU
rnacentral:rRNA from 1 species